AAACUUUCAACAAUGGAUCUCUUGGCUCUCGCAUCGAUGAAGAACGCAGCGAAAUGCGAUAGGUAAUAUGAAUUGCAGAAUUCCGUGAAUCAUCAAAUUUUUGAACGCAAAUGCAAUUCUUGGUAUCCGAGGAAUACCCAUGGCUUUGAGGGUCAGUU
rnacentral:rRNA from 1 species